rnacentral:misc_RNA from 1 species
AACAUCGCGCACCUGCGGGAACCUGCGGAGGGAUCAUUACAGAGUGACCACCGUGUCGUGGCUCUGCCUACCCCGCGAACCCUACCCCUCGUCGUUGCCUCGGCGGGCGCUCCCCGCCGCAGGCCCCAGCAAACACGCACCGUAACGCUCGGCGCUCCUUCUGAAAGAACGAUUUUUUAAACGAGUAAAAACUUUUAACAAUGGAUCU